GACGUAGGUGGCAAACGUUAUCCGGAAUUAUUGGGCGUAAAGGGUGCGUAGAUGGCCUGAUAAGUUAGCAGUGGGAAAUCGAGGCUCAACCCCGUGGAAGCUGGUAAUACUGUCAGGCUCGAGUGCAGGAGAGGUUAACGGAACUCCAUGUGGAGCGGUAAAAUGUGUGGAUAUAUGGAAGAACACCAAUAACGGCGAAGGCAGUUAACUAUUCUGUUACUGACAUUGAGGCACGAAAGCGUGGGGAGCAAAACGG
rnacentral:rRNA from 1 species